rnacentral:rRNA from 1 species
UAUCAAUAAGCGGAGGAAAAGAAACCAACAGGGAUUGCCUUAGUAACGGCGAGUGAAGCGGCAACAGCUCAAAUUUGAAAUCUGGCCUCUUUGGGGUCCGAGUUGUAAUUUGGAGAGGAUGUUUCGGGUACGGUCCGGGCUUAAAUUUCUUGGAACAGAAUGUCACAGAGGGUGAGAAUCCCGUCUGGAGUCUGCGACACGGCCUAUGUGAAACUCCUUCGACGAGUCGAGUUGUUUGGGAAUGCAGCUCUAAAUGGGUGGUAAAUUUCAUCUAAAGCUAAAUAUUGGCCAGAGACCGAUAGCGCACAAGUAGAGUGAUCGAAAGAUGAAAAGCACUUUGAAAAGAGAGUUAAACAGUACGUGAAAUUGUUGAAAGGGAAGCGCUGGCAACCAGACUUGCGCGUCGGGGUUCCCCCUGGCUUCUGCCUGGGCUACUCCCCGGCGCUCAGGCCAACAUCGGUUUUGGGGGUCGGUUAAAGGCCCCGGGAAUGUACCUACCCUUCGGGGUAGACUUAUAGCCCGGGGUGUCAUGCGGCCACCCGGGACCGAGGAACGCGCUUCGGCUCGGAUGUUGGCGUAAUGGUUGUCAGCGACCCGUCUUGAAACACGGACCAAGGAGUCUAACAUCUAUGCGAGUGUUAGGGUGUCAAACCCUUACGCGGAAUGAAAGUGAACGGAGGUAGGAAGCCGUAACACGCUGCACUAUCGACCGAUCCUGAAGUUUACGGAUGGAUUUGAGUAAGAGCAUAGCUGUUGGGACCCGAAAGAUGGUGAACUAUGCCUGAAUAGGGUGAAGCCAGAGGAAACUCUGGUGGAGGCUCGCAGCGGUUCUGACGUGCAAAUCGAUCGUCAAAUUUGGGUAUAGGGGCGAAAGACUAAUCGAACCAUCUGGUAGCUGGUUCCUGCC